rnacentral:rRNA from 1 species
GACAGAGGUGCCAAGCGUUAGGCGGAAUCACUGGGCUUAAAGCGUGUGUAGGUGGAUGCCUAAGUGCCUUGUGAAAUCCCACGGCUCAACCGUGGAAUUGCUGGACAUACUGGGUGUCUUGAGCCAUCCAGGGGCCGCUGGAACAAACGGUGGAGCGGUGAAAUGCGUAGAUAUCGUUUGGAACGCCAAUGGUGAAAACAGGCGACUGGGGAUGAGCUGACACUGAGACACGAAAGCCAGGGGAGCAAACGGG